rfam:Acidobacteria bacterium RIFCSPLOWO2_02_FTLL_68_18 rifcsplowo2_02_scaffold_4227, whole genome shotgun sequence.
CAACGGGUGUAAGUCCCGUCUCGGUAAGCACCGGAGCGCCGAGUAGCAGACCCCGGGCGCGAGACGAGAGUCACGCGGCCCAAGCGGGGUGUCAAGAGCCUCUACGGAGGGAGCCAGCACGCGGGCCGCAACAUCA